GUGCCAGCAGCCGCGGUAAUACAGAGGUCCCAAGCGUUGUUCGGAUUCACUGGGCGUAAAGGGUGCGUAGGUGGUGGGGUAAGUUUGAUGUGAAAGCUCCGAGCUCAACUCGGAAAUGGCAUUGAAUACUAUCCCGCUGGAGGAUUGGAGGGGGGACUGGAAUUCUCGGUGUAGCAGUGAAAUGCGUAGAUAUCGAGAGGAACACCGGUGGCGAAGGCGAGUCCCUGGACAAUACCUGACACUGAGGCACGAAAGCUAGGGGAGCAAACAGGAUUAGAUACCCUGGUAGUCC
rnacentral:rRNA from 1 species